ensembl:lincRNA
CUGCAAAGGGUGAAAACUGAGUUGUCUGCAUUACACGUGGGUCUUUGGCAGAUAGAGAUGGGGAGACAGGACAUUUCUGCAGAAAGGACAAUGUGCAGGUGUGAUGCAGCAUGAUUUUUUCAGGGGCACUAGAAGGAGCCUGACUCCAUGCCAAGUGCUGAAGCUGUCACCAUGGUUAAGAUCCCCACCAUCUGCAGCCUACUACAGGGGAGGCUACACUCCUGAAGAAACGGGAUUUGGAGUUGUUCCAGCUGAUGUCAAAGACCACACACAAGGACAUGGACCUCAAUGGCUCAUUCACACGAGCAUGACAGUUACCCAGGAUGAACUGCAAAAAGCUAUCUGUGGAUGGUUAACUGCAGGUGACCUGAAUGCAUGUGCCUCCUCCUUCUUUUCUGCUUUUGUCUUUUCCUUAAGCGUCUCUGAACAGUAUCUUCAGAAGUGUCUGUUUCCCACAGAGCAUGGUGUGUCCAAGAAAUACCCAACGUUCUCAUUGCCUCUGCUAUUUAAUGCUGCAGUUGGGAGAGGCAGUCUUGCUUUCUGCCUGCCUGUCUUUUUGGAGCACAUAUGAACCACAAAUAGAUACAGCCCACAUUUUGCCUCAAAGAUAUAUUCUUUGUUUUCUCCAAGUUGCCAAGUUGAACUCUAAGCUGAUGUUUAAUUUAUCUGUGGUAAUGAGGGACGGGGAUAGCCUUGCAUAAUUGGAAUCUGAAGAUAAGCCAAAAGCUUCUUUUAGCCAAAAUUCCUACAUCCUUUCCCACCAACUCUUUACGCCUGUGUUGCUAACAAAUGGCAAAUUGACUAAUCUGAGUUUCACUAGUUCUUUGUGUGGUAUAUCUGACCUUUCAUAAUGGGUUCAUACCAGAGUCCACUUCCAUGGUCCUUCAAGAUGUGGGUGUCUUGUUCUUAGGUAACCAACCAUCUUCACAGAUCACAGUAAACCAAAACCUUUGUACCUACCACUCACGUGUAUUUCUGCUGAAGUUAGAAAAGCACCCCCUCAGUCUAUAACUAACCUCUGGUGAAAUUGAGAAAUGAAUGAAUUGCUAAGCCAUCUAUAAAUAGAAUUCCUCCACAGUUCAUCUGAUGUGAGAGACAACCCUUUGAUAGGUUUCUGAGAAGACGUGUGAAGCCACUGCUCUCAACUGUUCUUUAAUUUACUUUUUGCUAAUCAAAGCCCCAAACAUAUUCUAAAAUGUGAGAUGUUUUGGAAGAUUAACCAAAACACAAGAUGAAAUUUACCAAGGGUUCCGUAUAAAGUUAUACCCUUAGGGUUUUAUUCUUAAAGCCCUCCCAAGUACAGAAGUAUAGAAUGGGAUGAUGUGACACAGAAUCGCAGAGUGGGAGGAGCCCACCGUACUUCAAUUCAAUGUAUCCAGAAGGAAAACUAAGUAAGGUUCAAAGACUUGCUUAGGGGCCUAGUCAAGGGACUAUUUGUUCAGAACCAAUAUUCAUACAAGGAGUCUUAAAUUUAAAAGUGGAUUUAUUUCAGAGAAACCUCAUGGAAACCAGUUGAAAGAGGGUUAGUGGAGACUUCUGGGAAGUGAAAAGUCGCUGGUUAAUUUCUCUGUUCUAUCUCUGUGGGGCCUUGCUGAUUCUUUUCUUUGCCUCCGGGAGCCUUCUUCAUAUCUGCAGUAGAUAUGAGGUGAUAUGGUUUGGCUCUAUUUCCCCACCCAAAUCUCAUCUUGAAUUGUAAUCCCACAAUCCCCACGUGUCAAGGGCGAAAACCAGUGGGAGGCCAUUGGAUCGUGGGGGCAGUAUGCCGUUCUCGUGAUAGUGAGUGAGUCUCACAAGAUCUGAUGGUUUUAUAAAGGGCUCUUCCCCUUUGUGACUCACUCCGUCCUGCUGCCCUGUGAAGAAGCUGUCUCCUUCUCCUUUACCUUCUGCCAUGAUUGUCAGUUUCCUGAGGCCUUCCCAGCCUUGCUGAACUGAGUCAAUUAAACCUCUUUCCUUUAUAAAUUACCCAGUCUCGGGUAUUUCUUUAGAGCAGUGUGAGAACGGACUAACACAUGAGGCUUCGCUACUCUCUCAUGACCAUCCCAAAAGGCAAGGUCAGCUUCCAUGUCUCGAUGGUCUUCCAGUGAGGCACCUCACAGCUAACUGACCAGGGCAGGGGUCUCCUUGGUCCAGCUGAGAUCAGGGCCUGGCUCUGGCCCAUGACUGUGGUAAGAGUGGGACUAUCCCUUGUGGAGCUGACAGGGGCUGACUCUCUCUAAGGGUGGGUAAAGGCACUGCUGGCCACUCUGGUGCCCCAAGAUGGCACAGGCAGGUCAGAGCCUGGCUAUCACUCCAGGCCAGCCUUCUGCCACUGACUGGAAAGGUGGGCUCAAACACAACUGCAGUUAAAAGAAAGGAAUUGCCCCAGAGGCGAAUGCAGUCGUAGGGGAAAAGGAGGUGAGAGGCCUGCUCUACUCCCCCUGAUCUGAUGCCAUCCAAGGGCACAUGGUUGACACAUUUGAAGAAAAUCCCAGAGUCAACUCAGAACCCAGCCUGAUAAAAAGUGACUGUGAUGGGCCAGGCGCGGUGGCUCGUGACUGUAAUCCCAGCACUUUGGGAGGCCGAGGCAGGUGGAUCAUGAGGUCAGGAAAUCGAGACCAUCCUGGCUAACACGGUGAAACCUUGUCUAUACUAAAAAUACAAGAAAUUAGCCAGGCGUGGUACGUGCGCCUGUAGUCCCAGCUACUCCGGAGGCUAGGACAGGAGAACGGCUUGAACCUGGGAGACAGAGCUUGCAGUGAGCCGAGAUCCCGCCACCGCACUCCAGCCUGGGCGACAGAGCGAGACUCCGUCUCAAAAAAAAAAAAAAAAAGUGACUGUGAUGAUGAAGAGAUUCAAAAUUAUGCCGCAGAAGGAAUGACUGGAGGGUCUAGGCAUAUUUCGCCUGGAAAAAGGAAGCUUUAAAGGAGAUGUGAGUCUUUUGUCCAAAUGUGUAAAGACUGACUAAAUUCUUUACAGAGUUUUAUGUUUGCGUAUAUCUGAAGAGGUCCAAAACUAGCAUCGAAGGGUAGAAUUUAAAGGGAAGAAGAUUAAAAUUAGGGGCCACAUUCUUUCUGUGAGGGUAUCUCGAUAUUGGCUGCCCUGUCAUGUUUAAGAAGGGAUGGCAUGACCAUUUGUAAGAGAAGCUGUAGAGCUGAUCCAUGAACUAAAGGGGUUCUGAAGUCUAUUCCAGUUUGGAAUUCUAUGGCCCUGCUGCAGGUGCAUCUGGUUGGCUGGAUUGAUUGCUAUCACAGGGGCAGAGGCCACCGUGUAUGAUCACUUGGGUCAGUGGAAUCAGUAGAGGCCAAGCGGCUGCACCAGUGAAGGACGGCAGGUUGCCCUGAUCCUGAAUCCUUUCAACGCUGGGCCUUCUCACGUCUGUUUGAGACAAGCCACUUUCAGCUAAGAUGCACUAGAUCCUUCAAGCCUCCCUACCACCCACAGGGUCACCAUCUGCUGGAGUGGCCAGUGGGGCUGCAGGUUACCCAUCAAAGCCCAAGCUAUGAAAUUGUCAUUGAGAGGAGUGCUUUAGACAUAGAGCUCAUUUGGUGGCAAAGAUCAGAAGCUUAUUCAAAGUAGCUUGGAAUUUUUAAACGAAUAAGGGAAACAUGUAAAGGUAUGCAUUUUAAGAUAUAAAGUGGUUUUCAGAAACUCAAGAAAAGCUGAACAUCAGGAGUGAGGGGGGACAGGAGUUCAAGUCACAAGAGUUCACCAGUCUUUCUACUAGCGCACUACUAUUUAUGUGACUCAGCUCUUAUCCUCAGGGCUGCUUAUUCCCUCUCCUUGUGUCCCCUCACUCAAAACCCAUGAGAGGACUGUGAAUGCUAGCUAGUUGAUAAACUGGCUGGUUGGAUCUCGUUUUUUUGUUUUGUUUUGUUUUUUGAGACAGAGUCUCACUCUGUCACUAGGUUGGAAUGCAGUGGCGCGAUCUUGGCUCACUGCAACCUCUGCCUCCCAGGUUCUCCUCAAGUGAUUCUCCUGUCUCAGCCUUCCAAACAGCUGGGACUACAGGCACGCCACUACGCCCAGCUAAUUUUUGUAUCUUUAGUAGAGAUGGGGUUUCACCAUGUUGGUCAGGAUCGUCUCGAUCUCUUGACCUCGUGAUCCUCCUGCCUCGGCCUCCCAAAGUGCUGGGAUCACAGGCAUGAGCCACUGCGCCCACCUGGCUAGUUGGAUCUCUUAUCCAUCCCCAGACUAAUAAACCCUAGCCUGAUUAUCCAGGGAUGUACCUACAGCAAGUUAAGCUAGAAAGAGAAAUUGGGAUUGACAGAAACGUUGACCAAAUCCUUCAAUAUUGAGGAAAACCAAGAGUCCUGAGUAACCCAACAGGAUGUGCAGCCAACCAGUCCAUGCUAAUUUGGGGUCAUUCAUACCUUUGCAGUUUUAACUCCUUUUCUCUUCCUCUACUUGCCUUUCUCUUUAUAUCAACAAAAUCUUACUGCUCCUUAUUGGUUCAAUCAUCCCAAAAUACAUCAGUAUGCCUGCUAGGCCAAGC